UUCCCCACCCCUUCUUCUCAAUGGGGUUCCACAAAAAAUUUACAUCAAUUUCUCAAAAGGAUCUCAAGAUCCAAUUCGAAUGAAGAAGGUUAAGAAAUCACAUCUCUGAAUCGAACGAAAAUGGGUUGAACCCGGAUCGAUUCUUUGUCUUCUUUACGAAUCUCCAUGUUUAUGCCAACACACAAGCAUCGCCACGCAGCGUCUCAUGAUGUAGAAUCGAGCCUUCUGUUCCUUUGCCAAGCUGCUGUACUUUCUUCCAAUGGAAUUAGAAGAGCUUUUCUGUGAAUAACUUCGAGGGAGAUCGUGGGGGUUCUUGGAAUUAGAAGAUGGGAUGCUUUUCUGUGAAGAACAUCGCAGCAAUGGCGAUUUGGAGGUUGACCCGCUUCUCAGGAAUGACGAUUUCGCAUUUGUGGAUGAAUGAUGGUAACUACUUCCUGAACCUUCCUUCUUUGAUAGAUUCCAUUUCUCGUCCAUUUAUUGUGAACUCAGAUGGGGUUGCAGGCAAGGUGUUUGUGAAAAUGCCUUUGAGAGUGAUAGUUGGUUUAAGAUGUGAGAAAGAGAAGUAGAAAGAGUGGGAUUCUAGUGGGACAUUAUAUGUAUACUUAAAUAACAUAUGAUUGAGAUUUGAUGAUGGGGAAUGACCGAGAGUUAUGAUGCUUCAUGCUUGUGUGUGGUAGAGACUGAUCAGUCAUAUUCCUCUACUCCCAAUAGCCCAUUCUGGCCUUUUUAUUUGUGGGUGUUAGAGGUUGAGAAAUUAUUUCGUGAGACCGCCACAAUGCGACUGACAGGUAUUUAUGUCUAACCUGUCUAAUGAUGAUGUAUGAGAGAGAACUUACUCCAAAUUGAAUCUAGGUUGAGAUAGUCACAUUAUAACAGCCUCCUCAUGGAUGCAGAGUUUGUGCCCAUUUGGGGUUAAUAUGUGAUUUUGAUGAUAUGGGUAUGUGUCAAAAAUGCUGCUCUUUCUACUUCUCUGUUAAAUUUAGUGAUUUCUAGCCUUUACUACUGUGAAGAUCUAUCGUUUUCUUUGCAUUGGACUCAGUUUUUUGUGUAUUGUGCUGAAUGCUGCCUCUGUUGUUGCUGCUCUAUUAUAUAUAUAUAUAUAUAUAUUUAUGAUCUUCUCUUUUCUAUGCGUUAGAGAGCAAACAGAGGGCAUCCAUUCAAUUUGGGGAAGUGGAAGGGAAAAUAAUGGAAGCAGUGAGAAAGGAGACAAUUUGCUAGCUGUUUAUGACGUGUAAGGUAUGUGUCUCAUACUCUCACCUCAACUUCUACAAAUAGAUCGAAUGCUUUUUUUCAAAAUAAAAACAACACAAAUUCUUUUUUCCUUUAAAAUGAUGAGUAUCUGCAGAAUAAGGACUUUAAUUUGCUUUUAUUUUUCCCCCUCCAGAGGGGGGAAACAUGCAAUUAUUUGCCUAUUUUUGUUCUUAUUAGAAAAGAAGGGAUCUAUGACUCAACCUUUUCUUUCCUUCUGUCUUUUUGUUACACUUGCACCAUUUUUUUCCCUUCUUCAAGAACUCUUCAUAAAAAAAAUUCACCCUACAAAGUUCUCUCUGUUUUAGUUUUUUCAAGAACUCAUUGUACUUCACUGUAGUCCAUAUAUCCCUAAAAUAGCAAGAAGUUCAAUAGAAUAGACAGAAGAAGAAGAAAUGAAACUUCAUUCUUAAAGAUAUCUAGAUAAAUAGUUAGAAGGAACAAUUAUCUGGUGAGACCGCACACUGUUGUUGCUGUUAGUUUUUUACUCUGCUGGAUGUAGAAAGAAGUAUCUAAACUUUAUAGACCAUAGUUUAGGGACCAUAAAUCUACACUUUGAAGACAUUUGGAGUGGACUAUUAUAACUUCCACUUUCUUACAUUAAAAUUAUUUAAAAACUCUCCUCCACUAUAAUAAUGUUUACUAUUUUGUGUUAUCCCUUCGUCCAUUUGUAACCUAGAUUAAACUAUCGUUACAUUAUGACUAUGAGUUGAGUGGGUUUGAAGAAAAUGAGAGGAUUAGGGGAGAUAUUAUUAAUUAGAGUUUGAUUGAAUGGUCAAGGAAAAGUAGUUGAUGAGUCAAAGUAAUGAUCACAUGGUAUGUUGUGGUUUUAGAGUUAAAACCCAAAAUGCAUCUCUCUGUUUUUCUUCUCUUCCUUUCUAUCUGGGGGUAGAUUAUUGUUAAUCAUUAUUAAUAUGCUGCUUGAAAUUUAUUACAUUAUUAAUUAAUCAUGUGGGACUGAGAAAGUGGGUAUUUUGGGUGUCCCACAUGCAAUCAUGUGAGGUUAAUGUUUUGGAAGGGAUAGAAAAAAAAAUGAAGGGGUGGGAUUUUAUUUUCCCUGCUUUUUCUUUUGUACCUUCCUCUAUAUUUUAUCUAUUUCUUUAUUUUCUAAGUUUGAUACUGAUUUCAAUGCUGCCUUUUCUAUUUAUUUACUUCUUUUCUUUUCCCUUUCUUUUAAUCAAAAUCUUGACGAAAAUAUCAAUGCUCUUCAUUUUAUGGAAAUACCAAUUAUUAAAAUAUUAUAAACUUUAUGCUUAUUGAUAUUUAUUAAAACUUUGAAAAUAAAUAAACCUUUUAUAUAUAUUUUUUUUUUAAUUUGAAAAAGGCUCCGAUUUGAAAAGUGUCAAAUUUAACCAAAAUGUUUAUAAAAUAUACAAAAUUUUAUUUCAUGAUCAAAGGAAAAAAAAACUACCGACAUUUUAAAAGUUAGCCAUUCAAUUUUUUAAAAGAAAAUCAUCCCUACUUAAAAUAGAAAAAAAAAUUAACAAAAAAAAAAAAGAACAUAUGGAAAUAUUGACUUUAAUAAUGACCCUAUAUUUGGUUUUACGUAUUUAAUUGUAUUUUUAAGAAUUUCUUAUAAAAUAAUCAUUUUGAUCAGUGUAAGUUCAAAGGUGAUUGUUUUAGUUUAUAAUGGUUACGUUAAAUUUGAACAUAAAAGUCUCUUAAGAAAUUUGAUUAUAAAAAAAUAUUUCAUUCUGAUCAAUAUUUUAGAAACACAGGGAACAAACUAAACAAAAUUUAUAAAUGCAUAGGCUAAUUGAACCAAGACUUUGUAGUACCUAAAUAGUAUGAACUUAUUAAUUUGAAUAAAGCUAUCAAAGUUGUUUUUCUUUUCUUAAAAAAUUUUGGGGUAUUUUUUCUUUUAAUAAUUAGCAUGAUUAUUUUAUAAAGAAAGAAAAUAAUAAGACAAUGUCCGCAGCUUUUGGGGAACCCAUGAUCAAUGUAUGAAUUUCUUUCAAAAAGACAGAUUUGUAAAUCAACAUUCUUCCCCUUUUUUUUAUUUUUUUUAUUUCAUUUUGAAGGGGGGAAAAAUACAUCUAAAGAACCACAUAAGAAAUAUUGAUAUCAUAAAAAAUAAUGUUAAUGUUGUAAUAGAUAUCAACUAGAAAUUUUAGAGAUUGUAAAUUUGAUUCCAUAUCAUGUAAGAGAUAUCCAAAUCAAAUGCAGCCAAAACUCAUUUUGCUUAAUCUCUAAUUUGGAUCUUGUAGCAUUACAAAGAUUAUAUUCCUUUUUCCUUUUUUUUUUUUAACAAAAUUGUAUUUUCAAUUUUCAUACAUAAAUUGAGUCGAUAAAAAAAUGGAUAGAAAUUGAUUGUUUUUAAAUAUAUAACGAAUUGAACUAGAAUUAACAUAGAAAAAAGGAAGAGAGAGAUAUGACUUCUUAAUGAAAUCAUGUUUAUGGAAAAACAUAGAAAAAAGGAAGAGAUAUGGAGUGGUAGCAUAUUCUCUAGUUCUUAGAAGGUUAUUGUGAUUGUAACAAGUAAGCAUCUCACAAGAAUAUUCCUGUGAUACACAACAUAACAAAUAUGUACAUUUCUCUUGUUUAAUCCCAUGAAACCAAUACCUCUAAACUUUUGAGGUACCAAACUUUAUAUCUCUAUUAUUAACCCAUAAAAGUUAGCCAUUUUAGUAGACACUUCUCUAUUCACACAUUUUAUCUUCCAUAACUAUUACUAUUAUAAAGUAAAUGCCAACAUUAUUUCAUUUCCCUAAACCUAAUUCAUACUUAAUUAUAAUAUAAACAUUUAAGACAAUUAUCUUCAAAACCAUAUCCCUUUCCCACAAUCAAAUAUUGAUGUACUUACUUUUAAUAUUUUGAGAAUAUUUUAGCCUUUUCACGAUGUCUUAAAAGUUUUUAUUGAACGAUCAUUUAAUAGUAAAGAUUUUAUUGAGUCACCAUUUAGGUUUAGCAUUAAAUUUUAAUAGUAAAGUUUUUGUUGAGUGGCCAUUUAAGUUUAAUAUUAAAUAUUUGUUAUUAGAACUUUUAUUGAUAGACUAUAUGAGUUGUUUUAAUUAGACGACAGUCCUAUAUUGAAUAAGCCUGUUUCAAAUAGAUAUUUUUAAAAAUUUUAAAUAGACAAAAAGUUUUUUUAAAAAAUUAAAAUUGAAUUUGUAAAUAAACAUUUUACCAUUUUCUAAUAAGUAAGUGUGUAGUCAUUAUUUAUUUUGUUGUGUUUUUGAAAAGUUUUAUCUGAGACUAUGAUAUUAUAAGAAAAAAUAUAUGGAUUGAACCUUCCUUUGAAUAUUGAUUGAUUGUAUGGAAAACAUGAAAAUAUAUAUAGACGUAUGGAUAGAAAUUUAAUAAUAUGAUCAUAGUCCUAUAUAUAUACAUGAAAUGAUAUGAUUCAGGUGAAGCUUCCGUUAAUCAACGAAAGGCUAGGGAUGGGAACAACAGAGGAAGAAUCGUUCAAGAUCGUCAGCAGGUAGUUGAAAAUAACCAUUAUUCUCUGGCACCUCACGCAUCUUCUUCACUACCACAACAACCGGCUUCUUCCUAGGCGGUGGUGGCAACGAUGCCGGUGGAAUCUGAAACUCUGGUCGCUCCGGAGUACGAAAGCCAUCCAUGGGGUGAAAUUAAAGUUUAUGAAAAAUUGAAAGAGAAAAAGUUGAAGAGAUUUUUGUGAGUUUUAGAAGUAACAGGGAACGGCCUAUAUAUGGUGUUGUAUGUUUCAAUCCACGUGUCGACUUUUGAAGAGGCUUUGAUCUACGUGGCGCGUUCUUACAGUCCCACGUGGAAUUUUGCGCUGUCAGUUGCGGGAAAAAUGUAGACCGCCAAAUUUGAAAAGAAAUUAUAUGUCUUGUGGGCUUUUGGAUUGGGCCGGGCCUUGUGGGUUAGGGAGAAUCUUUUAGACCCAUUUGAAAAUUUGGAUCGAUGCUUUCGGUUACCCUAUAGCCCAAAUAACACAAUGUAGUUAAAACCAAGAAAGAUUUAGACAAAAGUCAUUAGUUGAAUAAGUAAUUGAAUAAGAAAUUUGAUAAAUGUACUAAUUUAAAAAUUAUUUUUUUAAAAAGAAAAGAUAAUAUUUUAUGAAUAA
rnacentral:lncRNA from 1 species